UACGUAGGCAGCGAGCGUUGUUCGGAAUUACUGGGCGUAAAGAGUGUGUAGGCGGUGCUCUAAGUUCGGUGUGAAAUCUCCCGCUUAACUGGGAGGGUGCGCCGGAAACUGGAGUGCUCGAGCGUGGGAGAGGAAAGCGGAAUUCCUGGUGUAGCGGUGAAAUGCGUAGAUAUCGAGAGGAACACCAGAGGUGAAGGCGGCGACCUGGUCCGAUACUGACGCUGAGGCGCGAAAGCGUGGGGAGCAAACAGG
rnacentral:rRNA from 1 species